GGGGGAUAGUGGCGAACGGGUGAGUAACACGUGAGUAACCUGCCCUUGACUCUGGGAUAAGCCUGGGAAACUGGGUCUAAUACCGGAUACGACUAUCUGACGCAUGUCAUGGUGGUGGAAAGCUUUUGCGGUUUUGGAUGGACUCGCGGCCUAUCAGCUUGUUGGUGGGGUAAUGGCCUACCAAGGCGACGACGGGUAGCCGGCCUGAGAGGGUGACCGGCCACACUGGGACUGAGACACGGCCCAGACUCCUACGGGAGGCAGCAGUGGGGAAUAUUGCACAAUGGGCGAAAGCCUGAUGCAGCGACGCCGCGUGAGGGAUGACGGCCUUCGGGUUGUAAACCUCUUUCAGUAGGGAAGAAGCGAAAGUGACGGUACCUGCAGAAGAAGCGCCGGCUAACUACGUGCCAGCAGCCGCGGUAAUACGUAGGGCGCAAGCGUUAUCCGGAAUUAUUGGGCGUAAAGAGCUCGUAGGCGGUUUGUCGCGUCUGCUGUGAAAGACCGGGGCUCAACUCCGGUUCUGCAGUGGGUACGGGCAGACUAGAGUGCAGUAGGGGAGACUGGAAUUCCUGGUGUAGCGGUGAAAUGCGCAGAUAUCAGGAGGAACACCGAUGGCGAAGGCAGGUCUCUGGGCUGUAACUGACGCUGAGGAGCGAAAGCAUGGGGAGCGAACAGGAUUAGAUACCCUGGUAGUCCAUGCCGUAAACGUUGGGCACUAGGUGUGGGGGACAUUCCACGUUUUCCGCGCCGUAGCUAACGCAUUAAGUGCCCCGCCUGGGGAGUACGGCCGCAAGGCUAAAACUCAAAGGAAUUGACGGGGGCCCGCACAAGCGGCGGAGCAUGCGGAUUAAUUCGAUGCAACGCGAAGAACCUUACCAAGGCUUGACAUGAACCGGAAAGACCUGGAAACAGGUGCCCCGCUUGCGGUCGGUUUACAGGUGGUGCAUGGUUGUCGUCAGCUCGUGUCGUGAGAUGUUGGGUUAAGUCCCGCAACGAGCGCAACCCUCGUUCUAUGUUGCCAGCGCGUUAUGGCGGGGACUCAUAGGAGACUGCCGGGGUCAACUCGGAGGAAGGUGGGGACGACGUCAAAUCAUCAUGCCCCUUAUGUCUUGGGCUUCACGCAUGCUACAAUGGCCGGUACAAAGGGUUGCGAUACUGUGAGGUGGAGCUAAUCCCAAAAAGCCGGUCUCAGUUCGGAUUGGGGUCUGCAACUCGACCCCAUGAAGUCGGAGUCGCUAGUAAUCGCAGAUCAGCAACGCUGCGGUGAAUACGUUCCCGGGCCUUGUACACACCGCCCGUCAAGUCACGAAAGUUGGUAACACCCGAA
rnacentral:rRNA from 1 species